rnacentral:rRNA from 1 species
AUGCCUAAGACAUGCAAGUCGAACGAGACGACCCAUUGAUAACUGCGAGCUUGCUCAAAGUUUGAUUUGGAUUCUUCGUCUAGUGGCGCAAGGGUGAGUAACACAUGGGUAAUCUGCCUUUAAGUCUGGAAUAACAGUUAGAAAUGAUUGCUAAUGCCGGAUGAUAUGUAGAACGAUACGUCAUUUUUACAUUAAAAGGAGCCCUUAAAGCUUCGCUUUUAGAUGAGCCUGUGGUGUAUUAGUUAGUUGGUGGGGUAAUGGCCUACCAAGACGACGAUGCAUAGCCGACCUGAGAGGGUGAUCGGCCACACUGGGACUGAGACACGGCCCAGACUCCUACGGGAGACAGCAGUUAGGAAUAUUCGUCAAUGGGGGAAACCCUGAACGAGCAAUGCCGCGUGAAAGGAUGACGGUCCUUUGGAUUGUAAACUUCUGUUGUUAGGGAAGAACGACUAGUAUAGGAAAUGAUACUAGAGUGACGGUACCUUUCAAGAAAGCUCCGGCUAACUACGUGCCAGCAGCCGC